ACACUUAAUUUACGAAGCAUCAAAGUGUUACUAUCACAUUAACACCGGGGCCAUUCCAUUUGAGGAUGUUGAAGGGUCCAUCAGGCUGUUGUGAAAAAUAUCCUCCUAAUGGCCUACGCGACUAGGAAAUGACACAAACUAAUUUAGUACGCACACGACCCGCGUUCUCAAAUGCGGGCAUAUACAAAAUGCCUUAUCUAUGGACGUGUGAUAAUACUGUCAACCAAUUUUGUGUUGUCAAAAGUUCAUCACGUUAGAGUAGAAAUCACGAAACAUGAACCGGGAAUGUCAAGAAUAAGAUGAUCACGAACUUAUAUCAACGAAUGGCCUGAACAUGAUAUCGUUGUCCUCAAAUGAUAUUUGCCCCUUCUCCUAUUGAUUUGAGAUGCUUCGAAGGUUGAUGGCAAAUGAUUUGUAAGAUUUUAACAAGCCUUAACAAGAAUUAAUCACCAAAGCACAAGUGAAAAUCCUUGAAAACUUGAAAAACACAAAGUUUGA
rnacentral:lncRNA from 1 species